rnacentral:rRNA from 1 species
AAUGGGUCAGCGACUUAUAUUCUGUAGCAAGGUUAACCGAAUAGGGGAGCCGAAGGGAAACCGAGUCUUAACUGGGCGUUAAGUUGCAGGGUAUAGACCCGAAACCCGGUGAUCUAGCCAUGGGCAGGUUGAAGGUUGGGUAACACUAACUGGAGGACCGAACCGACUAAUGUUGAAAAAUUAGCGGAUGACUUGUGGCUGGGGGUGAAAGGCCAAUCAAACCGGGAGAUAGCUGGUUCUCCCCGAAAGCUAUUUAGGUAGCGCCUCGUGAAUUCAUCUCCGGGGGUAGAGCACUGUUUCGGCAAGGGGGUCAUCCCGACUUACCAACCCGAUGCAAACUGCGAAUACCGGAGAAUGUUAUCACGGGAGACACACGGCGGGUGCUAACGUCCGUCGUGAAGAGGGAAACAACCCAGACCGCCAGCUAAGGUCCCAAAGUCAUGGUUAAGUGGGAAACGAUGUGGGAAGGCCCAGACAGCCAGGAUGUUGGCUUAGAAGCAGCCAUCAUUUAAAGAAAGCGUAAUAGCUCACUGGUCGAGUCGGCCUGCGCGGAAGA